rnacentral:tRNA from 1 species
UCCCAGGUGGCUCAGCGGUAAAGAAUCUGACUACAAUACAGGAGACACAGGUUCAAUCCCUGGGUUGGGAA